UUGAGCGGAGAUUAUGGAGCUUGCUUUAUAUAACUUAGCAGCGAACGGGUGAGUAACACGUAGAUAAUCUAUCCUAUACUGGGGGAUAGCCCGAUGAAAGUUGGAUUAAUACCGCAUAUAGCUAUAUAGUUGCAUGAUUAUGUAGUGAAAGAUUUAUUGGUAUAGGAGGAGUCUGCGGCACAUUAGCUAGUAGGUGAGGUAAAGGCUUACCUAGGCGACGAUGUGUAGCCGGUCUGAGAGGAUGAACGGCCACAAUGGAACUGAGACACGGUCCAUACUCCUACGGGAGGCAGCAGUGGGGAAUAUUGCACAAUGGGGGAAACCCUGAUGCAGCAACGCCGCGUGAGUGAAGAAGGUUUUCGGAUUGUAAAGCUCUGUUAGCAGGGAAGAGGAAGGACGGUACCUGCAGAGGAAGCCACGGCUAACUACGUGCCAGCAGCCGCGGUAAUACGUAGGUGGCAAGCGUUGUUCGGAAUAACUGGGCGUAAAGGAUGCGUAGGCGGUUAAACAAGUUAUAUGUUAAAUAUAUAGGCUUAACCUGUAGAAAGCAUAUAAGACUGUUUAACUAGAGUGCAGGAGAGGUAAGUGGAAUUCCUAGUGUAGCGGUGAAAUGCGUAGAGAUUAGGAAGAACACCAGUGGCGAAGGCGACUUACUGGACUGUAACUGACGCUGAGGCAUGAGAGCAUGGGGAGCAAACAGGAUUAGAUACCCUGGUAGUCCAUGCUGUAAACGAUGGGUACUAGGUGUGGGUUGUGAAUAACAAUUCGUGCCGUCG
rnacentral:rRNA from 1 species